rnacentral:lncRNA from 1 species
CUUGCCCAGCGCUGUUGCACAUAGCGAAGAAAACACUUCAGCUCCAACACGACUUUGUCAAUAUCCUCUGUCUUUUCACUGAAGAUCCUGGUGGUUUACAGACUAGGUAGGGAACUGCCAGGGCUCGGUAUCACGGAUCCGAUUGUUCUUGAACUGUUUCUCCCGGGCAGAUUGAGCUGUUAUUGUGUUACCAUUGUGUUACCAUUGUGUUCGAGUGAGAGGGAGUAAAAAUCUCUUAACCUUUAGGUGUUUUAUUCCCUAGCAGAGUAAGUACAGAGUGCAGAUCUGAACAGGAAUUCAUUGCUGCAUCUGUUUCUGUCUCUGCUUCCACUGAUGUGAAGAAUUUGCUUGUGUUCUCAAUAUCCCGUGUCUGCUCUUCAGCCUGUUGGGUUGUAUUCCAGUAGGAUCAGCUGGUUAGAGAGAGUUCUGUGGUGUCUAGUGAGUCUGCAUUGGCCUGUCAGCAGUACCUUGACUCCCAGUGUGUGAGAAGCGAUGCCCAUCUCCCUACUUCACUGUGCUGUUCUACUGGCUAACUGACAGAUCCAAGAUGAGCCCGAAGGAGUGCAGCUGUGAGCCCAGCAGGGUGAAAUGGUUCUCCUCCUGUGUGCAGCGCACAGGCUGCCAGUGCCCCGGGCCAGAUGAGGUCCUGGCUGUUCUGGAGGGAAUGAGGAGCGUUGAUGAGGAAUCUGGGAAGCACCUGAUUGAAGAGCUUCUCACCCUCCUGCAGAGGAACACCAAGGGGACACUGCCAGUCAUCCUGGGAUUCCUCGAGAGCCCCCAGGUGACAACUGCCCAUCGCUCUGCUGUCCUCCAGGCAGUGGAGAAGCUGCUGCGCAAAACAUCUGGGCAGCAUCUGGAUGAGUCCUUGGCUAAGAGCACUGUCUUGACCAUAGAUGACUAUGUUGCCGGUAUGUAAACCCCUUUAAUUCCUGCCUCUUAAACGGAUGUCUUACUGCUGUGCUGUGGUCUGUUUCCUUGCCUGUGCCACACAUUGAUGCAUCUAAUG